CACGGGGGGAGCAAGCGUUGUUCGGAAUCACUGGGCGUAAAGGGCGUGUAGGCGGUCAAGUAAGUGGAACGUGAAAUCCCUCGGCUCACCCGAGGACCUGCGUCCCAAACUGCUUGGCUUGAGUAUGGGAGAGGAUGAGGGAAUUCCCGGUGUAGUGGUGGAAUGCGUAGAUAUCGGGAGGAACACCAGUGGCGAAAGCGGCGCUCUGGGCCUAAACUGACGCUGAGGGGCGAAAGCGUGGGUAGCAAACAGG
rnacentral:rRNA from 1 species